UCACGAGGGCAGAGCAGAGAGGGACAAUCACCUCCUUCUCCCUGCUGGCCACCCGUCUUCUGAUGGAGCCCAGGAUACCAUUUGCUUUCCUAGCUGCAAGAGUACACUGCUGGCUCAUAUUCAGUUUUUUAUCCACCGUCCUGUUAUAUAAGGCCCAAUUAUUGGAUAUCUGAAGUUGUUAUGACCUGCAUCUAGCUACAUGAAAUAUUUCCAGUGAAUCUCCCGAAGCUCCAACAUGUGCUAUAAAACAAAGUCCCUUGUCCAGGCGGCCUACAGAUAUGACACAGUGAGAGACAGUGAAAAUAAGACAAAUGAAACAUCGACAGGACAAGAGGUAGUGGCCUUAAAUUGUGCCAGGGGAGGAUCAGGUUGGAUAUUAGGAAAAAUUUCUUCUCUGAAAGAGUGGUAAUGCGUUGGAACAGGUUUGUGAAUGGUCCCACUUCUCAUCUUCCUCACUGCAUUGACACUCGUGCUGUAAUACAGAGCAUCACUGCAAACAAGAAGGUGGAACAGGCUAGAGACAGGAGCACAAGUGUAUGGAAGGAGCAAGGGUGGGUAAACAUCCACUUGAAAUAUUAAAUAUCCACAGCUGACUCAGAAACCUACCUCCUGUGUUUAUCUAAUUACAAAAAAAUUAAUAUAGCUGUUCCUUCAUUUUCAACAAAUCGGCAUUUCCCCAAGUAUUGUGAUACUUUCCCUGAGCUAAGCAGGGCUCCACUAGGAUUUUCAUUUCCAUUCUGGUAAUAUCUCAUUACUUGUAACAAUUGUGCUAGGUCAGGUAAAAACGUGUCUUGCAUUCCUUGUUGUCCCAGAGCUGCUGCACAGUAGGUGUUCCAAUGUGCUAAAUGCACAAAGAGUUACAAGUACACAAGUUUUUUUCCCCUCCCCUCCCCUGUUUCUUUUCAUCUGACUAUCUCAUAGCCAAUACUGAGUAACCACUUCUAGACUGGGAGGGAGUUCAGGAGCAGAGCUAUAAAAUAAUUGGUGCUUUAGAGUCGACAAUAAUCUUGAGUAAUUUAAAAAAAUGUUUUUUAAAUAGAUGAAUCUGGUGGGAAGCAUCAAUUUAUAAACGAUUACAUUGAAGGCAUAGUAGAACCAGCUUGUGUGGCUGUACAAAUUCAAAAUAACUCGGCUUAAAACACUGAGUUUAAUUUAUCCAUGAACCAUUCAGGAAAACAGCUUAAUUCACAGAUUGUUUUCCAAGUUUGCAGAAGGUUUCAUCUGAAAACCUUGGACAAAUGCUGUGUAAAACCACACACCUGCACUGACCAAACCCACCUCGUUUCCAUAAUAUGCACAGACAAAUACAGUCUUCCUUCUGCACUGUUUUGCUUUUCAGUUUAUUGGAUUGCUCAUCUCAUGACAGAGAUGAGCAUCAGAGCUGAGCAGUGAGCAAACCCUUUGUCUGAGUCUGGCUUUUUCUUUUUGUUUUGGCACAGUUUACCUAUAAAUAAGUUACAAGUGUUACCGCAGGAAGGUGAGAGGAAGAAUGUUUUUGGUAUUAGGACAACUUGGCAUUCCUUUUCCAUGUGGAAUAAAAGUAUAUGUUGUGCUACACAGCAGUCACCUUAGAUCUUAACGUUCUUAAUGUUUUCUUCUGUAUUAGAAAAACAAAGAGCAAGAAGGAAAAUGAUAUAUUAGGGAAUAAGAUGGCAGCAACAGUUCCUCAGUAGGAAUGCAAUGGGCACAUCAGGUUUGCUUCCCACUCAGGUGAGAUCCAGGGUAAACACGAAGUGAUUGUGUGUGCAGAUUUCCUGGAGUCUUUGAAAUGGGCGUGUUUCAGAGCCGGCUUUCCAGAUGCUGCAGUUAAAUCUUGAAAAGUUCUAUAAAGCAUUGAUGAAUCUUUGCAAGGGAAUGCAAAUCAGCACAGCCAAGUGGGACAGUGGAACUUUUUCCGUGCUCUCAGCACUUUGCUGUGCUUGUUUCUAAUACGUAAAAGCAAUGUUCAUGUGUUGAUUGUGUGAUGUUAUUUCAUUGCCGCUUCCUAAUACAUGAUUCAGCUCCAACAGUGGGCUGUUCUUGCCCAUGCAAACUCAUGUCGCAGUGGUGGGAGUUAUUAAAAUGAAGCCCUCACUGUGUUACAAAGGACAUCUUAACCAUUGCUUCUGCAGAUUUUUCAAAAGGAUACUUCUUCUGCAGUAAGCUUGAAAGUACUCCAGGUAUUGAAGGCAAAGGAGGCAGUGCUGUUUUCAGCAGGCUCCUUUCUGGCUCUGUCUUGGAUUUGUUUGCGGACUUUAUGGGCUAAAUUAUGCCCAUCUCCCAUCGUGGAUGAAGAGUUACUGGUGCAUCCCCGUGUUCUUUACAAAGUGUCACUCCAUUGCUGUCAUCACACGAGAUCAGGAGAAGAAAUGGGAACAGAGGAUCCCUUUUUAUGGGAUGUGUGACUUUUUCCAUAAAGCACUCCAACAGAGCUGCUUUGAUCCUGCCUACCAGAAAGAUGACCCGCAGAUCCUCAAAGCUGUUUGCUCAGAAACAUCAGCACAAGCCACGGCAUCACUUUGCUCAGCUGAAAAGAAGAACUGAAGUUGUUCUGGGGUUUGCAGAGCCAAAGAAGCUUCAUUUCAUCUUAAUUUGUGGAAUCCAAGUGGAUCCUCUGAUGUCUGAUAAAGAGUGAGGCCAUAUUCAGCUGUUUCCUAUAACAAAGAGAUUUUGAGGGUCUCUGUCCUGUCUCGUGGCUUUGUAGGGCCUCUCUUUCACCAUAUUUAUGUGAAGUUGGCCAUUUUUUGUGGUAAGCAGCUCAAAUUCUAAAGGAUUCAGUCUUCCAGCCCAGUUGCAUGAGCACUGCUAUAGCAGCCUGAUAGAGCUGCAGGUGUCCCUGUUCAUUGCAGGAGAGUUGGACCAGAUGGCCUUCAAAGGUCCCUUCCAACUCAAGCGAUUCUGUGAUUCUAUGACUUGCCCUAGUGCUCUAGACUGAUGUUGCUCUGGUAUAGGGGUGUUCUGUCUGCUUGCUUCAGGUUCAUUCUCAGCACUGGGAGCCCAGAAGGACUCCCAGGCUGCUGACAUCAUUUAUCAAGCCCAGCUGCCAAGGUAGGAUGCUGAUUGUAGGCAGCCCAUAGCAUGUCACGGAGAAGACAUUCCCUUCCUCUCCACUUUCCAAGUCACAGAGGGCUUUCUGUGCAGAGGCAACUCUGAAUUCCUCCUUGGCAGCGUUCAGCGUGGCUCCAUGGAGCUGUCUGCCUACCACAGAGAGCCACCUACAUUUAAAUAUACUCACCUUCUUUGCAUUAAUCAAGAUGCGCUCAGGAACAGUAGGGGUGUGUUGGGCAAGCCAGGCUGGAUAGCAUCUGUCAUGGGCAAAAGCAUCUGGAUUUUCUAAUGAGGCUAGUGAUCAUGACUUAAGCUGGUUGUGUUGCAGUCCCUGCUGAAGGGCUUUCAAUCAGUACGUUCAUGUCCAGUGCCUUUGAAAUCAGGUGCCAUCAAAAUGCUUUCUUUUGUGUAUUUUCAGAUUUCUGAGUACUUCAUCCAUUCUGAGAAAUCGUGGCCUUGGGAGACCACCAAAGGGACUUAAAGAUUGUAACAACAGGGUUUACCAUAUUAGAAACUAGAAUAAAAUUCUUACUUGCUCACCUUUUGCUGAGUGAUUGCAUGCUUUGGUACUCGUUUCUAAGGAGUUAGAAAAAUGGCCUGAUGUAAGAGGGCUCAGAGAUUGCCUGUCAGCUCUCCCUUUGCCUGUCUUUAUGGAUCAAUUGUUAAAGCUGGUUCCAGAUUUAUUCCUUCAGAACUACAUCAAAUUUCUCUGAAUUUGUACUUGAAUGGUAACUUUACUGCUCAGCCUGAGUUUAAGCAUUAGAAAGUAUUGUGUCAACAGUUCCUUAUUUAUGUUUUGGGCAAAUGCCUAACUCAAAGGUAGCGUAGCAAAAAAAGAAAAGAAAGAAAGAAAAAAAACAGCCUUUGGCUUUGCUUUAUGUCUAUAAAAAUAAAUCAAUCUGGGUUUGAGUUA